rnacentral:rRNA from 1 species
AUGAUUGCUGUCAAGAGGUUUAUCUACAAUGUAAGAGAAAGUUUUGCCAAAGAGUUGAUCGUCCACCGUGAAAUCAAUCACAAGAAUGUAGUCAGAUUAGUCGGCUACUGUGCAGAUGAAAAUGCCCAAAUGGUGGUCACGGAGUAUAUUCCUAAAGGAAAUCUGAGUAACAUUCUUCACCAUGAUAAUAUUCCUAUCGCUUUGGAUAUAAGGCUAAGAAUUGCCAUUGAAUGCGCUGAAGCAUUGGCCUAUAUGCACUCACAAAUGUAUACCCAGGUCAUUCAUGGUGAUAUCAAGCCUGCUAAUAUACUUCUGGAUGAUGAACUCAGAGCAAAAAUAUCAGACUUUGGAAUAUCAAGACUAGUCAACACUGAAAAGACUCUAUAUACUCUAAAUGUGAUAGGAAGUAUAGGCUACAUGGACCCUCUGUUUGCUCAGAAUGGUCGCCUCACAGCAAAGAGUGAUGUUUAUAGUUUUGGAGUUGUGCUCCUGGAACUGAUAACCAGAAAAAAAGCAAGAACAGAGGAUGGGGAGAUUGGCUUGGUGGAAAGUUUUAUUCGAUCUCUUUCAAAAGAGUUUAGGAGGGUGAGGGAAAUGUUUGAUUUUACAAUUGCAACAUCGAGCAACAUGAAGACUAUCGAUGAGAUUGCCAAGUUGGCAGUGAAAGGCCAAGUUUUUGAGCUGGACGAGUUGCUGCGGGCAUCAACUGAAGUGCUGGGCAAGGGUACAGUAGGGCUAACAUACAAAGCGACAUUUUAUAGUGGAUAUGAGCUGGUGGUCAAGAGGCUGAAAGAUGUGGACUUAGGGGAGGCGAUCUUUGAGCGGCUUGUCACACUGCUUGGCGCUAUCCAGAACAAACACAUAGUGCCACUGCUGUGGUAUUACUGUGACAAGGAUGAGAAGUUGCUGGUGUAUAAUGUCAUCCCCAUGGGUAGCCUAGCAAAAGUGCUCCACGGUGACCGAGGUUCUGGCCCAGCUCCACUGGACUGGGAGCAGCGGUUGGCUAUCUCACUAGCUGCUGCGCAUGGUGUGCAGGCUAUCCACUUAGCUGGACCAACGAGCUGCCAUGGCAACAUCAAGUCUUCUAACAUCCUGCUCACCGGUACCCACGACGCAUGUGUGUCGGAGCAUGGCCUGAUAACACUUGGCAUGUAUUCCAAUGCCCCCGGCUACCGUGCACCUGAGGUCACCCGCAAUAGGUGGGUCUCCCAGGAAUCUGACAUGUACAGCUUCGGCAUCCUACUGCUGGAGCUUCUCACCCACAAGUCUCCACUGGAGAAGAGAUUUCAGAACGGCGGGGGAGUAGAUUUGCCACGGUGGGUGUGUUCCAUUAUACCUGAGGAGUGGACGGCGGAGGUAUUCGACGUGGAGCUCCUAGCACGGGGGCAGAAGGAUGGGAAAGAGGAGUGCAUGGUGCGACUUAUGCAGCUCGGGCUAAAGUGUUGCAGUCAAGAUGUUGACUCGAGGCCUACAAUGUCUGAUGUCGUGCAGCGGAUUGAGGAGAUUGGACAGUCCUAG